GAUGAACGCUAGCUACAGGCUUAACACAUGCAAGUCGAGGGGUAACGAGAGGAAAGCUUGCUUUCCUUGUCGACGACCGGCGCACGGGUGAGUAACGCGUAUCCAACCUGCCCCCAACUAAGGAAUAACCUUGCGAAAGUAAGACUAAUACCUUAUAAUUUCCUCAGAUGUCAUCUGACGAGGAAUAAAGAUUUAUCGGUUGUGGAUGGGGAUGCGUCUGAUUAGCUUGUUGGCGGGGUAACGGCCCACCAAGGCAACGAUCAGUAGGGGUUCUGAGAGGAAGGUCCCCCACAUUGGAACUGAGACACGGUCCAAACUCCUACGGGAGGCAGCAGUGAGGAAUAUUGGUCAAUGGGCGAAAGCCUGAACCAGCCAAGUAGCGUGCAGGAUGACGGCCCUAUGGGUUGUAAACUGCUUUUAUACAGGAAUAAAGUUAGCCACGUGUGGUUAUUGUAGGUACUGUAUGAAUAAGGACCGGCUAAUUCCGUGCCAGCAGCCGCAGUAA
rnacentral:rRNA from 1 species